UCGAGAAUCUUCGUCAAUGGGCGCAAGCCUGAACGAGCGACGCCGCGUGCGGGAUGAAGGCCUUCGGGUUGUAAACCGCUGUCAGUGGGGAGGAAAUGCGGGAGGGUACUCCCUUCCGUUGGACCUAUCCGCAGAGGAAGUACGGGCUAAGUUCGUGCCAGCAGCCGCGGUAACACGAACCGUACGAACGUUAUUCGGAAUUACUGGGCUUAAAGGGUGCGUAGGCGGCUCAGAAAGUUGGGUGUGAAAGCCCUCGGCUCAA
rnacentral:rRNA from 1 species